CACAGAUAUGGUGAUAAACAUUUUUAAAGCUGUUUGGAAAGAAAGAGUUGUUGUAGUAAAUGUUCAUUGUAUGCAAUUAUAUAUAUAUAUAUAUAUAUAUAUAUAUAUAUAUAUAUAUAUAUAUAUAUAUAUAUAUAUAUAUAUAUAUAUAUAUAUAUAUAUAUAUCGGCAUGCAAUGCCAACCUAAAUGCCGACCUAUCGACCUCCCAGGUUGGAAAAUUUUUGCCGACCUUAAUUCAGCCAAAGUAAGAAUUUUUUUGUGCUGAUUGCUGUUAAUUAAAAAGUCAGCGAUUAUAGAAUUCGAUUUGUAGUUCCAUUAACUAACCCAUUUUGUCUAUAUAUAUAUAAUUUAGGUAAGACUCCAAAAGGAAAGCUGUCAUGUUACUGUAAUUUAUGGCUAUUUUAAAUAAAUACAAAAUAAUAUAGUGCAUUGCAGAAGAGGAUGAUGAUGGCGAUGAUGACGAUGAUGACACAUAUGGUGUAACAACCGUUCUUAAUCUAAACCAUCAUAAGGUAAUGCAUUGUGUCUUGAAAGAACCAUUGAUAGUACCUUAUUUUAGUGUGCAGUGUAUUUCAUAAAGUUAGGAAUGCAAGUAAAUUGCUUAGUUAAAUUAAUUAAUACUGAUACAUAGUUUAAUACUAUAAAUUUAAAGUGAACUUUGUAAAUGAAUUGCAGUUUUAACAGAAUCCCAAAAUGUUUCCCUUUGUAGGAAGUUGCAGGCAUUCGAGACUUUGUCAACCUGGUUACAACAAAAUGUCAAAACGAAAAGGUCGUG
rnacentral:lncRNA from 1 species